ACGAAUCAUCAUAUAUCAUCCAAAUCGAAGGAAAUAAAAAUUUGCAUCAAACUUUCAAUCAUGCAUAACUUUGCGUACAGUGCACCAUUUCAAUCAAACUUUAUACCAAAAUGAUCACCAAUCAACGAUCUAUACAAAUAGCAUAAAGAUUUUGAGAAUUAGAGAGGUCGAAUCCUGACCUCUUGAAGAACAGCAACUGGAAUCGU
rnacentral:lncRNA from 1 species